GAGUUUGAUCAUGGCUCAGAUUGAACGCUGGCGGCAUGCCUUACACACGCAAGUCGAACGGCAGCACGGGAGCUUGCUCCUGGUGGCGAGUGGCGAACGGGUGAGUAAUGCAUCGGAACGUAUCCUGGAGUGGGGGAUAACGUAGCGAAAGUUACGCUAAUACCGCAUAUUCUGUGAGCAGGAAAGCGGGGGACCUUCGGGCCUCGCGCUCUUGGAGCGGCCGAUGUCGGAUUAGCUAGUUGGUGAGGUAAAGGCUCACCAAGGCGACGAUCCGUAGCAGGUCUGAGAGGAUGAUCUGCCACACUGGAACUGAGACACGGU
rnacentral:rRNA from 1 species